rnacentral:lncRNA from 1 species
GAACCAUAGGCUUAUGAUUCAGCCUUCCAGAUCAAUAAAAGUUAACGCACAGAUACCUUGAAACAUCAUAGAUGAAAAGACAGAUUUCAGGACCUAUCUCAGGAGUUAGUAAAUGUAUUUAAGUUUCCCACUAUAAACUUAGAGUUACACUUUAAGAUUACAAACUCACAAUCUUUUUCUCCUCAAAUUCUUUUAGAUCUCAUUUGUCUCUUUGUUUUAGUUAAGUUAAAGAAUGACUAACUGAGCUAAAUCAACAAUCUAUACAAGUUAUAUACCCUAACUUUCUCAACUAAUUAAAGUAUACGAAGCAAUUACAAUGAAAGCCCACAAAUUUGGAAGUAAUUUGAUGACUUCUAAUAGACAACUACAUCAGAUGGCUAAUAACCAUUGUCCUUCCCAAUAUGAAAUUACCCUUUCCUUUGUGUUUGUUCGCUGCUACAAACAAGGGUAUAGAACCAAGUAUAAUUGGCACAAAAAGGAUAUACAUAUCAUUGAAGUAAGAUCAUACAAAUUGUCCUUCCCAAUAUGAAAUACCCUUUUCUUUGUGUUUGUUCGCUGCUACAAACAAGGGUAUAGAACCUAGUAUAAUUGGCACAAACAAGGGUAUACAUAUCAAUGAAGUAAGACCAUACAAUCAUAUAUUCAUAAAGGCAAACCAGAAGAGAAGUUUCAACACAGAUCCUCAGCAGCACAAUUAUACAAAUUAAACCACUAAAAAAGCAAUUAACUAUAAGAAUUUCUUAGGUAUUCAUCAUAAGUUAACAAAAAUAAUAUAGGAAAAAUAAACUAAUUAACUAAUCUAAUGAUAUAAAUAGAUACUUAAAUUAAAUAUUUAGCAAUGCUAACCUGGAUUUCAAGCUUGACAGUGUAGCCGACACCUAAAAUCUCCUUGUCGGUGAGGGAAAGGAACCUAAUCUUGUCAAAUGCCUACAAUACAGAACUCAUUUCUGAUAAAUACAAAGUUCCAUUUUUGUGUAUAAAAAUCAUAGAAGUAGUUUGUUUGUCAUGUAAUUAAUUGAACUAUGUGAGGACAAUAUAUUAAUUGAAGUAGAGUCAAGAUAUCAAAAUGUGACAUAAUUGGUGUAGUUUCUCAAAGAGGAGUGGGGUCAGCUGACCCCAAUUCAAUCUCCUUCUAUGUAAGAUCUGUGCCUAUGCAUAAGCCUGUGGAAAAAACAAGGGCCUAUGCCAGAAUUUCAGAUCCAAAUUAUUGUUGGCAACGUUCAUAACUGAAGCACCAUGGAAUAGGUGAAACAGAAAUUGUUGCCUUUCUCAACAAAUUUAAUUAUAAAUAUAAAGGUAGAACUCAACAUAUGAUUUAACUAUUUACUCCCUCCGUCCCAAAACUUUGAUCCUUUUAGAGUUUUGCAUGGGGAUUAAGAAAUGAUAAAUAUUGAUAAAUUAAGUCAAUUUUACCCUUACUUUAUUAAGAAAGAGAAAAUAUAUUUAUAAUUAAUGUUUUAACUUUAGUAAGGGUACAAAUGGUAAAGUAUCACUAAUUGUGCAUUGGUUUCUUAAAAAGACAAAAGAUUUGGGACAAAACUAAAAAGGUAAAAGGACUAAAGAUUUGGGACGGAGGGAGUAAUCAACAAAUCAUAAUUAAUUACUCUAAUAAUCGUAAUACUGGAAUCACCAAAGAACCAUAGGUUUAUGAUUCAGCCUUCAAGAUCAAUAAAAGUUAACGCACCGAUACAUUGAAACAUCAUAGAUUGAAAGACAGAUUUCAGGACCUAUCCCAGGGGUUAAUAAAUGUAUUUAAGUUUCCCACUAUAAAACUUAGAUUUACACUUUAAGAUUACAAACUCACAAUCUUUUUCUCCUCAAAUUCUCUUAGAUCUCAUUUGUCUCUUUGUUUUGUGAAAGUUAAAGAAUGACUAAAUGAGCUAAAUCAACAAUCUAUACAAGGUAUAUACCCUAACUUUCUCAACUAAUUAAAGUAUACGAAGCAAUUACAAUGAAAGACCACAAAUUUGGAAGUAAUUUGAUGACUUCUAAUAGAUAACUACAUCAGAUGGCUAAUAACCAUUGUCCUUCCCAAUAUGAAAUUACCCUUUUCUUUGUGUUUGUUCGCUGCUACAAACAAGGGUAUAAAACCAAGUAUAAUUGGCACAAAAAGGGUAUACAUAUCAUUGAAGUAAGAUCAUACAAAUUGUCCUUCCCAAUAUGAAAUUACCCUUUUCUUUGUGUUUGUUUGCUGCUACAAACAAGGGUAUAGAACCAAGAAUAAUUGGCACAACCAAGGGUAUACAUAUCAAUGAAGUAAGACCAUACAAUCAUAUAUACAUAAAGGCAAACCAGGAAGAGAAGUUUCAACACAGAUCCUCAGCAGCACAAUUAUACAAAACAAACCACUAAAAAAGCUAUUAACUAUAAGAAUUUCUUAG